CUACGCACUCCUACGGGAGGCAGCAGUGGGGAAUAUUGCACAAUGGGCGCAAGCCUGAUGCAGCCAUGCCGCGUGUAUGAAGAAGGCCUUCGGGUUGUAAAGUACUUUCAGCAGUGAGGAAGGUGGGUAUGUUAAUAGCAUACUCAUUUGACGUUAGCUGCAGAAGAAGCACCGGCUAACUCCGUGCCAGCAGCCGCGGUAAUACGGAGGGUGCGAGCGUUAAUCGGAAUUACUGGGCGUAAAGCGCAUGCAGGUGGUUUGUUAAGUCAGAUGUGAAAGCCCGGGGCUCAACCUCGGAAUUGCAUUUGAAACUGGCAAACUAGAGUACUGGUAGAGGGGGUAGAAUUUCAGGUGUAGCGGUGAAAUGCGUAGAGAUCUGAAGGAAUACCGGUGGCGAAGGCGGCCCCCUGGACAGAUACUGACACUCAGAUGCGAAAGCGUGGGGAGCAAACAGGAUUAGAUACCCUGGUAG
rnacentral:rRNA from 1 species